rnacentral:rRNA from 1 species
AACGAACGCUGGUGGCAGGCCUAACACAUGCAAGUCGAGCGGUAGAGAGGUGCUUGCGCCUCUUGAGAGCGGCGGACGGGUGAGUAAUGCCUAGGAAUCUGCCUGGUAGUGGGGGAUAACGCUCGGAAACGGACGCUAAUACCGCAUACGUCCUACGGGAGAAAGCAGGGGACCUUCGGGCCUUGCGCUAUCAGAUGAGC